AACAGCUCAGAUGGUAAAGCGUCUGCCUGCAAUGCAGGAGAUCCAGGUUCGAUCCCUGGGUUG
rnacentral:tRNA from 1 species